rnacentral:rRNA from 1 species
GACGAACGCUGGCGGUGUGCUUAACACAUGCAAGUCGAACGGUAAGGCCCUUUCGGGGGUACACGAGUGGCGAACGGGUGAGUAACACGUGAGUAACCUGCCCUCAUCUCUGGGAUAACAGUCGGAAACGGUUGCUAAUACUGGAUAUGAGCUUGCAAGGCAUCUUGUGGGUUGGAAAGAUUUUUUUUGGUUGGGGAUGGACUCGCGGCCUAUCAGCUUGUUGGUGAGGUAGUGGCUCACCAAGGCUUCGACGGGUAGCCGGCCUGAUAGGGCGACCGGCCACAUUGGGACUGAGAUACGGCCCAAACUCCUACGGGAGGCAGCAGUGGGGAAUAUUGCACAAUGGACGGAAGUCUGAUGCAGCAACGCCGCGUGCGGGAUGACGGCCUUCGGGUUGUAAACCGCUUUCAAUUGUGACGAAGCUUUUUUGUGACGGUAGCAGUAGAAGAAGCACCGGCUAACUACGUG